GAUGAAGAACGCAGCGAAAUGCGAUAAGUAAUGUGAAUUGCAGAAUUCAGUGAAUCAUCGAAUCUUUGAACGCACCUUGCACCCUUUGGAAUUCCAAAGGGUAUGCUCGUUUGAGUGUCAUUGUACUCUCACACUCUCCGAUCCUUUGGAUUUGGGGAGCGGUGGACUUGGGUGUUUGCUGCUUUCAUUGUGGCUCACCUCAAAUGUGUCAGUGCAUCUCUUGAUUGGACAUAGUACGGCGCGAUAUGUGUCUUCGCCGGCACCUCAUAAGAGGGUGGCCGAUCAGGAGCUCUGUGCUUUCAAACUGUCUUCGGACAAUCUCUGACAACUUGACCUCAAAUCGAGUAGGACUACCCGCUGAACUUAAGCAUAUCAAUAAGCGGAGGA
rnacentral:misc_RNA from 1 species